GGGACAAUCACUAUUCCCUGUAAGUUGCCGGGGCAUUACAAGUGGUAUCAGACCCUAGCCUCUCCCAGUAAGGAGGCACGAAGUGCAAGAGGCACAAACAAAGAGCUUGGAGUAAUUUAGGGAUGGGUGACCUUCUGGGAAGUUUUCCCGGAAAGUGUACGAGUGAGGACAAAGCACAUUGAAAAGCCUUGUGUUGAUGUGUGGGGGCAAUC
rnacentral:lncRNA from 1 species